CGACUGAUUCGCGACGAGGCUCCCCGAUCCCGGGUCUCCCCAGCGCAAACGAACGAACAUCCGUCUCUCCACUCGUCCCUUUUCCUCUCCCUUUCGUGCACCAAGCCGUUUAGUACAUGAAGGCGGGGGAGUUGACGUCCUCGACGAAAUCGAUGGAGCCCGAAUCGAUGGGCUUCAUCAGGGCGAUGGAGAGGAGGUGGAAGGCGAAGGACGCGAUGAGCGGCGCCUUCUCCACGGGGGACUCCGCCUCGGCCAGCUUCUGGUUCACGACGACGAGCUCGUCAAGGUGCUCCUUGAACUUCGGGUUGUAGGUGUCGAUGACCUGGGGGAAGAUGGACGCGGUGGUCUUGUUGGUCUGGUGGAUGACGUGCAUGUUGAACUGGGUGGUGUUCAGGCCGAUGGACUCGUAGAACUCGGUGCGGGAGUGGUCGUUGAGGUACAUGGUCACGUACACGGACAGGCAGAAGAACCUGGCCCACAGCUUGGCCUCAAAGUCGUUGAUGAACUCAGGCCUGGCCUUGAGGCACGCGGUGAAGAAGUCACCGUGGCGGUUCUCGUCCUGGCACCAGUUCUCGAAGUACUGGAAGAUGGGGUAGAGCUGGUCGUCGGGGUUGGCCUGGAGGUGGCGGUAGAUGGAGAUGUACCUCCAGUAGCCAAUCUUCUCGGACAGGUAAGUCGCGUAGAUGAUGAACUUGGGCUUGAAGAAGGUGUACUGCAGAUUCGAGGAGGGGGAGAGGCCCGGGUCAGUCCAGAGCACGAACGAGAAUACCGACGAAAGGAUACGAACGGUCGAGGGUGGAUUUUGUGUCGCCCGCGAGUCAUCCGAGCGACGACCGCGUCUGUCCGAGAUCACACCGAGAGAACGAGAGUCGACGACGCCGAGGCUCCGCGGGGGGCUGAGUCUCAUCGAAAGAAGAGAUCGGAAGGGGAAAAUUAUCCGAUCUCCGGGGAACGUUCGCGGUCGCGCGGACGCGAGACGGGGGGCGAGAGGGGAUGUGAUCUCACCUGGCGGUUCUUGGUGAGGAAACCGAGGUCGAGCGCGAGGUUGAAGUCGGACAUCGCCUUGUUGAGGAAGCCCGCGUGCCUGGCCUCGUCACGGGACAUCAGGGUGAAGAUCUCAGCCGCGACGGGGGCGGUCUUCUUGAGCCUGCGGCCGAGCUCCUUGUAGAGGAGGAAGCCGGAGAACUCAGCGGUGCAGGAGCGCUCGAGGAACUCGAUGAAGAUGCGGCGGGCAUCGCCGGUGAUGCCGUCGGCGGCAGCCUUGAAGGAAUCGUUCCUCACGAAGUGCUUCUGGUUGAAGUCCUCCCUGAACUCCUGG
rnacentral:lncRNA from 1 species